UAGCGGCAGGCCUAAUACAUGCAAGUCGAGGGGCAGCACGGUAGCAAUACUGGUGGCGACCGGCGCACGGGUGCGUAACGCGUAUGCAACUUACCCUUUACAGGGAGAUAGCCCGGAGAAAUUCGGAUUAAUAUCCCAUAGUAUAUAGAUUUGGCAUCAGAUUUAUAUUAAAGAUUUAUCGGUAAAGGAUGGGCAUGCGUGUCAUUAGCUAGUUGGUGAGGUAAUGGCUCACCAAGGCGACGAUGACUAGGGGUACUGAGAGGUUACACCCCCACACUGGUACUGAGACACGGACCAGACUCCUACGGGAGGCAGCAGUAAGGAAUAUUGGACAAUGGGCGAGAGCCUGAUCCAGCCAUGCCGCGUGCAGGAUGACGGUCCUAUGGAUUGUAAACUGCUUUUGUAUGGGAAUAAACCCAGAUACGUGUAUCUGGCUGAAUGUACCAUAAGAAUAAGGAUCGGCUAACUCCGUGCCAGCAGCCGCGGUAAUACGGAGGAUCCAAGCGUUAUCCGGAUUUAUUGGGUUUAAAGGGUGCGUAGGCGGGACAGUAAGUCAGUGGUGAAAUCCUAUUGCUUAACAAUAGAAUUGCCAUUGAUACUGCUGACCUUGAGUACAAAUGAUGUGGGCGGAAUGUGCAGUG
rnacentral:rRNA from 1 species